rnacentral:snRNA from 1 species
UUCGCUUCUGUACUCUGAGCUAAGUUUAUGUUUAGUAUUUGCUCUUUGCAGUGUAAUUUCUGCGACGGUCUAUAAAUUGAGACCAAUAAAAUUUCCUGUAUUUUUCUCUAAUGGGCGGGUAUUGUGAGCUGUCUCAAUCCUGUCCACGAGUCGGCCUCGUAUGGCAUUACCUCGAGGAUUGGCCCAUUUUUA